GUGCUCACUUUGGCAGCACAUAAUCUAAAAUUGGGACAAUACAGAGAAUUAUCAUGUUCCUACUCAAGGUUGAAACACAGAUUCAUGAAGCAUUCCAUAUUUUU
ensembl:snRNA LOC120102598 U6 spliceosomal RNA